rnacentral:rRNA from 1 species
GUCCGAACCCACGCACGUUGAAAAGUGCGGGGAUGAGGUGUGGGUAGCGGAGAAAUUCCAAUCGAACUUGGAGAUAGCUGGUUCUCUCCGAAAUAGCUUUAGGGCUAGCCUCGAGGUAAAGAGUCAUGGAGGUAGAGCACUGUUUGGACUAGGGGCCCUUCUCGGGUUACCGAAUUCAGAUAAACUCCGAAUGCCAUGUACUUAUACUCGGGAGUCAGACUGCGAGUGAUAAGAUCCGUAGUCGAAAGGGAAACAGCCCAGACCACCAGUUAAGGUCCCCAAAUAUAUGUUAAGUGGAAAAGGAUGUGGGGUUGCUUAGACAACCAGGAUGUUGGCUUAGAAGCAGCCACCAUUGAAAGAGUGCGUAAUAGCUCACUGGUCGAGUGACCCCGCGCCGAAAAUGUACCGGGGCUAAACAUAUUACCGAAACUGUGGAUGAACCUCUUUAGAGGUUCGUGGUAGGAGAGCGUUCUAAGGGCGGUGAAGUCAGACCGGAAGGACUGGUGGAGCGCUUAGAAGUGAGAAUGCCGGUAUGAGUAGCGAAAGAAGGGUGAGAAUCCCUUCCACCGAAUAUCUAAGGUUUCCUGAGGAAGGCUCGUCCGCUCAGGGUUAGUCGGGACCUAAGCCGAGGCCGAUAGGCGUAGGCGAUGGACAACAGGUAGAGAUUCCUGUACCAGUGCUAAUUGUUUAACCGAUGGGGUGACACAGAAGGAUAGGGAAUCGCACGAAUGGAAAUGUGCGUCCAAGCAGUGAGUGUGAGAAGUAGGCAAAUCCGCUUCUCGCGAAGCAUGAGCUGUGAUGGGGAAGGAAAUUAAGUACGGAAGUUCCUGAUUUCACGCUGUCAAGAAAAGCCUCUAGGAAGAGUAGUACUGCCCGUACCGCAAACCGACACAGGUAGAUGAGGAGAGAAUCCUAAGGUGAGCGAGAGAACUCUCGUUAAGGAACUCGGCAAAAUGACCCCGUAACUUCGGGAGAAGGGGUGCUCUAUUAGGGUGCAAGCCCGAGAGAGCCGCAGUGAAUAGGCCCAGGCGACUGUUUAGCAAAAACACAGGUCUCUGCAAAACCGUAAGGUGACGUAUAGGGGCUGACGCCUGCCCGGUGCUGGAAGGUUAAGAGGAGUGCUUAGCUUCGGCGAAGGUACGAAUUGAAGCCCCAGUAAACGGCGGCCGUAACUAUAACGGUCCUAAGGUAGCGAAAUUCCUUGUCGGGUAAGUUCCGACCCGCACGAAAGGCGCAACGAUCUGGGCACUGUCUCAACGAGAGACUCGGUGAAAUUAUAGUACCUGUGAAGAUGCAGGUUACCCGCGACAGGACGGAAAGACCCCGUGGAGCUUUACUGCAACCUGAUAUGGAAUGUUUGUACCGCUUGUACAGGAUAGGUAGGAGCCGAAGAGACGUGUGCGCUAGCAUACGAGGAGGCAAUGGUGGGAUACUACCCUGGCUGUAUGACCAUUCUAACCCGCCACGCUUAGCGCGUGGGGAGACAGUGUCAGGUGGGCAGUUUGACUGGGGCGGUCGCCUCCUAAAGAGUAACGGAGGCGCCCAAAGGUUCCCUCAGAAUGGAUGGAAAUCAUUCGCAGAGUGUAAAGGCACAAGGGAGCUUGACUGCGAGACUGACAAGUCGAGCAGGGACGAAAGUCGGGCUUAGUGAUCCGGUGGUUCCGCAUGGAAGGGCCAUCGCUCAACGGAUAAAAGCUACCCCGGGGAUAACAGGCUUAUCUCCCCCAAGAGUCCACAUCGACGGGGAGGUUUGGCACCUCGAUGUCGGCUCGUCGCAUCCUGGGGCUGUAGUCGGUCCCAAGGGUUGGGCUGUUCGCCCAUUAAAGCGGCACGCGAGCUGGGUUCAGAACGUCGUGAGACAGUUCGGUCCCUAUCCGUCGCGGGCGCAGGAAAUUUGAGAGGAGCUGUCCUUAGUACGAGAGGACCGGGAUGGACACACCGCUGGUGUACCAGUUGUUCCGCCAGGAGCAUCGCUGGGUAGCUAUGUGUGGCAGGGAUAAACGCUGAAAGCAUCUAAGCGUGAAGCCCCCCUCAAGAUGAGAUUUCCCAUUUCUUCGGAAAGUAAGAUCCCUGAAAGAUGAUCAGGUAGAUAGGUUUGGAGUGGAAGUGUAGCGAUACAUGGAGCGGACAAAUACUAAUCGAUCGAGGACUUAACCAAAA